CCUACGGGAGGCAGCAGUGGGGAAUUUUGGACAAUGGGGGCAACCCUGAUCCAGCAAUGCCGCGUGAGUGAAGAAGGCCCUCGGGUUGUAAAGCUCUUUUGUCAGGGAAGAAACGGUCUACUCUAAUACAGUGGGCUAAUGACGGUACCUGAAGAAUAAGCACCGGCUAACUACGUGCCAGCAGCCGCGGUAAUACGUAGGGUGCAAGCGUUAAUCGGAAUUACUGGGCGUAAAGCGUGCGCAGGCGGUUUUAUAAGACAGAGGUGAAAUCCCCGGGCUCAACCUGGGAACUGCCUUUGUGACUGUAAGGCUAGAGUGUGUCAGAGGGGGGUAGAAUUCCACGUGUAGCAGUGAAAUGCGUAGAUAUGUGGAGGAAUACCGAUGGCGAAGGCAGCCCCCUGGGAUAACACUGACGCUCAUGCACGAAAGCGUGGGGAGCAAACAGGAUUAGAUACCCUGGUAGUCCACGCCCUAAACGAUGUCUACUAGUUGUCGGGACUUAAUUGUCUUGGUAACGCAGCUACGCGUGAGUAGACGCCGUCGGGAGGUACGGUCGCGAGAAGUUAAACUAACGAAAGAAGUAGACGGACGUGAGACGUGCCGACGACGACGACGAGGGAGGUUAGG
rnacentral:rRNA from 1 species